AUAUUCUAUGGUUCCAUGAUUCUAUGAUCUCACCGUGCUCAGCAAUAAAAGCCUGGAGGAGGAGGAGGAAGUGGGGAUGUUUGGACUGAACAUGUUUGUUUUCCAAGUCACUGUAAUGCCUGACAGAGCCGUGCUCUCCCAGAGGUGGCUGAACACUUGCCUGCCCAUGGGAAGCAGUGAAUGAAUCCCUUGCUUUGCUUGCAGCCCACGAGUUUUCUCACUUUUACCCUCCAAUUCUCUCCCCCACCCACUGUGGGGGUGAGUGGCCCUGUGGCUACUGAGGCUAAACCAUGACAGGAGGUCAUCUAGACCAACCUUCUGCUUAGAGGAACUUCAUUAUCAACGCUAGAUCAGGCCUGUCUGCAUCACAGAAGGCCCAUGGAGCUGUCAGACACCUACAGCAUUAUUUUGAAAGCAUCACAGAGAGACUGUGCAAAAAGAGAUCUGCCCAGUCUCUCUCAGACAAAAUGUUACAUCAAGUCCUGGUAAAAAAGCUGAGGGAAGUGACAGACAUCUGCCAUGCACCUUGAAGAACCAAAGAGCAGAGUGGGGAAUUAACUGUCACUACAGGGAAAAGUCACAGUAAAAAGACACUGGGGAAAACACAGGAUGUCACACUUUCCAAUAAUUAAACACUUUCUGAAGAUGUUUGAAUGGCAA